GAAGCGAGGGAGGGAAGGCAAUUAGGACAAAUUGGCUCCUUCCACUACGCAGCUCGCUGCACGCACGCUGGCAACCUGCCUUGGCCUGCAUCACCUGACGCCGCUGUGGGAGCGCGGUAAUUCUCCAAUACUUUUACUCGUGCGUCCGGCAGUAUAUAUGUCCAAAUGAAAUCUGCAACAAGCUCUGUGGAACAUUGCUACUUGCGAAGGAAAGACCCACAACGCUGACGACCCCGGGAACGAUCUAUUGCUUCCACACAUUGCUCGCUGUACCACUUGUUGCUGAAUAUUUUCUCGGCAAACCCAUACAAUUUUUUUUGGGGGCGGAAGCGCUUGCGGCAUAGUAGAAUCAGCACCAUAUCAGAGGCUACAAUUUUGUUGUAUGUCCUGUAAUGGCUGCCUCAACCUGGUACCUACCUCCUGGUACCUUCCCAUGCAGGCGCUUUGCAACUACCGCUUCCGCUUUGCAACUCCCCUCUGUGCCACGGGUGCCAGCAUGUCGCCCCCAGCAUCGCGCCCUUGGCUCAGAACUAUAACCAUGGCCCGUGCGAUGGCCAUCGCCGCAGCCGCCGCAGCUCUGGGAGGUCGUUGAGGCCACAACAACAACCGAAAUGCUUGCACCUGCUGUUUUGCCAAGUAGUCCUAUGCGCUUGCUUGCUCGCUGCGAGCAGCUGCUUUGCAUGCAGAAAGGAAGAUACGGUGAUAAGGACAGGUAUGUAAUGUUAAUGAAUCUGCGUCCACACUUCCCGCCAUCCACGGCUAGGCCCUGCCCUGCCUGCAUCCAGUCCCGUCGCUUCCUGACUUGUCCUUUGUUGCGACGGAUGCCUUCCGUGUACUUCCAUUCAUGGAGUUAUUCAUUCAGAUUGGAGCGUCCAUAGGACUUACACAGCGAGGAAGAGCGCUCCAUCUUCUCCUCUCACUCUUCCUGAAGUUUGGAACGACGCAGCGCGAAAAUGAGAGCUUCACGGUUUCCAUUUGCAACUUGUUCGUCGAAAAUGCCGUACCUUGACAUGUCAC
rnacentral:lncRNA from 1 species